rnacentral:rRNA from 1 species
GGGUCAGUAGGUUGGUCGUGCCACCGGUACGUACUGGUCUCACUGAUUCCUCCUUCCUGAAGAACCGUAAUGCCAUUAAUUUGGCGCUGCGGGGAAACAGGACUGUUACUUUGAAAAAAUUAGAGUGUUUAAAGCAGGCUAACGCUUGAAUACAUUAGCAUGGAAUAAUGAAAUAGGACGAUCGAUCCUAUUUUGUUGGUUUCUAGGAUUGACGUA